rnacentral:rRNA from 1 species
UACAGAGGUCCCAAGCGUUGUUCGGAUUCAUUGGGCGUAAAGGGUGUGUAGGUGGCGCCGUAAGUCGGGUGUGAAAUUUCGGAGCUUAACUCCGAAACUGCAUUCGAUACUGCGGUGCUUGAGGACUGGAGAGGAGACUGGAAUUCAUGGUGUAGCAGUGAAAUGCGUAGAUAUCGUAAGGAAGACCAGUGGCGAAGGCGGGUCUCUGGACAGUUCCUGACGCUGAGGCACGAAGGUCAGGGGAGCAAACGGG